rnacentral:rRNA from 2 species
UCUAGGCCCCGUCAGGAGCCCGAGUUGUAAUUUGGAGAGGACACUUCGGGGGGUAUUGCCUCAGUAACGGCGAGUGAAGCGGCAAAAGCUCAAAUUUGAAAUCUGGCCCUUUCAGGGUCCGAGUUGUAAUUUGCAGAGGAUGCUUCGGGAGCGGCGGUGGUCUAAGUCCCCUGGAACGGGGCGUCGCAGAGGGUGAGAAUCCCGUCUUGGACCGCAUGCCCGUGACCGUGUGAAGCUCCUUCGACGAGUCGAGUUGUUUGGGAAUGCAGCUCAAAAUGGGUGGUAAAUUUCAUCUAAAGCUAAAUACUGGCUGGAGACCGAUAGCGCACAAGUAGAGUGAUCGAAAGGUUAAAAGCACCUUGAAAAGGGAGUUAAAUAGCACGUGAAAUUGUUGAAAGGGAAGCGCUUGCAACCAGACUCGGCCGCAGAGGCUCAGCGGGCACGUGUGCCCGUGCACUCCUCUGUGGCCGGGCCAGCAUCAGUUCUGACGGCCGGUCAAAGGCCCCUGGAAUGUAUCCUCCUCCGGGAGGUCUUAUAGCCAGGGGUGCAAUGCGGCCAGUCGGGACUGAGGAACGCGCUUCGGCACGGAUGCUGGCGUAAUGGUUGUAAGCGACCCGUCUUGAAACAC